rnacentral:lncRNA from 1 species
GGAAAAUACUAAUUUUUCCAGAUUUUUAAAAAAUUCUUUAAUAUCAUAAUUUAUUUUUUUUAUAUAGGAGAAGAAUUCUGCACUUUCCUACUCCCAGGUUCUUAUGUAACCAAAGAAUUACAAAUGCCUACUUUAGAUUACACCCAUGGUAGACAAAAUGCAUUCUCUGAUAUAUGCAUUUGAGAAACUGCUUGCCAAAUGAUGCAUAGAUAAAAUUGAAAGAUAUAACCAUACAGUUGAUUCAUCUUAGCAGUUUAUAGACAGACUCCUACAUAUACACAUUGAGACCCAAGAUGUCCUCACAGAACUAGAUUACAAAAAUUAUAUCUAUCAGUCUGUCUCCCCAGGUUUGCCUGAUUCUAUAUAGAUUUCUGAUUGAACACUUACCAAAAAAUAAUAUGAUAUGUAACCUACUAAGAGAAGGAUUGCUACAUGCUAGCAUAUAUUCAUGUUUUCAAUUUAGUGGCAUUUAUCUACAAGCAAAUCACAGGUAUUUAUUGGUGGACCUAUGGCUGGUGUUAUUAUCAAGCUGUUUAUUAGGCAUAAAGAAAGCAUAAUAAUACCAGUAUUGUUAUCUUUAAUAAAAUUAUUUGCUAGAUACGUUGACAAUAUCUUUAUGGAAUGGAAUAUCAAAGAUGACACUGAUGACAUUUGUCAAUACUCUAACAGAACAAACACUAGAAUUAACCUUAAUCUUAGACCAGAAAUUCUAACCUGUGUGCAUUUCUUAAAUAUAUUAGUGACUACCAAAAAUGAAGCCUACAGGAAAGAGAGCUUUUCCCUUAUACUUAUUCCAGCCUAGUUCUAUUAUCCAAUCAGUUACAAAAAAAGUAGUGUCCUCCUAAAAUGAAUUUUCUCUCACUGCACCACUUUAGCUUUCAAAUACCAUAUGUAUAAUAUCAUUUUAGCCAUUCUCAGGCCCACAUUUACACUACUCAAUUUGUUAAGAAAAUAUAUGAUGACCUCAUAUCCUCUGCUCUGGUAACCAAAAUAAUAAUCCAUGAGUCAGGGAGAACAGAUUCUCACCUUAAAAGAUUAAUAACAUAUAAUUCCUUUCUUGAUUUUAUAAAAUAAAAAGCUGGUGUAGGCCUCCCAGGUGUAUAGAAGGUAAUUUGACAUUAGAAAUGAUCAGCCAUACUAGUCAACCUCAGGCAUAUUCCUGAUUUCACCCAUGACAUUGAGUUGGACAGAAAUGAAGUUUAUAUUAGUAAUACAGUGAGAAGCCUGAAUUAGAAUAAUGGAACAUAAGUUCUCAAUAGCUAUGUCUCCCUUAGCUGCCAAAUAUUUAUGUUGAAUAUGACUCUUUCUUAU